rnacentral:rRNA from 1 species
AACGAACGCUGGCGGCAGGCUUAACACAUGCAAGUCGAACGCCCCGCAAGGGGAGGUGGCAGACGGGUGGAGUAACAACGUGGGAACGGUAACCCUUCCGGUUUCGGGAAUAAACUCAGGGAAACGUUAGAGCUAAUAACCGGAUACGUCCGAGAGGAGAAAGAUUUAUCGCCGAUGGAUCGGCCCGCGUCUGAUUAGCUAGUUGGUGAGGUAACGGCUCACCAAGGCGACGAUCAGUAGCUGGUCUGAGAGGAUGAUCAGCCACACUGGGACUGAGACACGGCCCAGACUCCUACGGGAGGCAGCAGUGGGGAAUAUUGGACAAUGGGCGAAAGCCUGAUCCAGCCAUGCCGCGUGAGUGAUGAAGGCCCUAGGGUUGUAAAGCUCUUUUACCUGGGAAGAUAAUGACUGUACCAGGAGAAUAAGCCCCGGCUAACUUCGUG